GGCGCGUUUCUAUCCCGCAAUUAUCAAACAAGUGGUUCGCAUGUCGCGGACAUUUAUGAAGACGCUUCCGAUGAAGGUAUAGAAGGAGAAGUACAUGUGUUACACCAGCGAGGGUCACAUAUGGCUCAUUUGAGCAACGCUUGUACGGAACAGGCGUUACCGAUGGCAAAGUGUCGACGACUAAAGUGCAUGGACGCUUGUACAGAUGUUCAGUCAGAGGUGCAAUUCUGAAGGACACUCUCCACUAACAUACAUGGACUUGAGCGACGUUCAAGAAAAUUCUGUCACGCCAACUUCUGCAGCAUGACUGUUCUCCCGCACUGAAAGACCUCCCUUGUAUGUCAAGUGAGUUAUUGUUACAGAACAUGAUCACUCUUUGUUGGAAAUAGGAGAAAUGCUGUCACGCUGUCUCUGCUGCAGCGUUAAAAAUCGCAGACCAAUCCAAGAUGUGCCGCCUCCACCUACUUGGCAACCUUAUUCUCACCUGAAUGAAGCUGGGCAUCCGGACCCUGAAUUUCCCAUCGGGAGUCCCACACAGUCCGCCAAGUAUACAACGAUGCAAUGGCAGACGAGGGAAAUGAAUGAGCGUCUACUUCAGCCAGUGUGGCAGUCAGCCCAGCUGUCUCAGUCCCAGCGAAUAAGGCAACCAGACGCAAAAACUUCACAGUAUGGUAUGCCAAUAGAGAUUCUCCCAAACGAUAUUGUGAUGCGUUGACUGUUGUAUGGUGAACUAACUGCAAAGCAAACUGUUUCAGCUGUGCGUAUCCCAAGCAGAAAUCAACAAGAUGAGCGGCCCUUCCCCCGUACUGCUGCAGUGUAUAUCCUGCACAUGGUAGGAACAUUUUCCUGUAUGUUAGAAGUGCAUUGCAGAUCAUAAUUCUGUAGUCAGCAUCAUAAAAAAGAAAAAAAAGGAUCGCGUAUUAUACCAAGCAUACGAUUCCCUCUGUCAUUAAUUUAUUUCCUUUUCUUUCUCCCAGAUAUUGUGCGUGAGUAGCUGGGGCUCUUAACGAGUGCCUACAUCUCCAUUUUUCUUCUUUUUAAUUCC